rnacentral:rRNA from 1 species
GCAAAACGCGAAGAACCUUACCCACCUUUGACAUGUACGGAAUCCUUUAGAGAUAGAGGAGUGCUCGAAAGAGAGCCGUAACACAGGUGCUGCAUGGCUGUCGUCAGCUCGUGUCGUGAGAUGUUGGGUUAAGUCCCGCAACGAGCGCAACCCUUGCCAUUAGUUGCUACGAAAGGGCACUCUAAUGGGACUGCCGGUGACAAACCGGAGGAAGGUGGGGAUGACGUCAAGUCCUCAUGGCCCUUAUAGGUGGGGCUACACACGUCAUACAAUGGCUGGUACAAAGGGUUGCCAACCCGCGAGGGGGAGCUAAUCCCAUAAAGCCAGUCGUAGUCCGGAUCGCAGUCUGCAACUCGACUGCGUGAAGUCGGAAUCGCUAGUAAUCGUGGAUCAGAAUGUCACGGUGAAUACGUUCCCGGGUC